GGCUGGACACGGCAACCUAAAGUUGCCGCUUCAGCUGUUCCCCUCUGGAGGUUUGACCUUCACACCUCGGGCCUGGAGUUUUCUCCCGGCCCUCUUUU
rnacentral:sRNA from 1 species